rnacentral:rRNA from 1 species
AUGCACCGCACACCCUUCCCGCGCGCGUCGCCGUACCGAGCGGAGAGCGCGCUCGAGCUAGUGCACGGUGACCUGUGCGGCCCGAUCACUUCGGCGACGGCCAGCGGUAACAAGUACUUCCUGUUGAUAGUUGAUGAUUUCAGCAGAUACAUGUGGCUUGAGGUACUGAAAACCAAGGAUGAAGCGUUCCGCUACUUCAAGAAGAUCAAGGCACACGCGGAGAUGCAGGGAAAUGCCAGGCUCCGGGCGUUCCGCACAGACAGAGGAGGCGAGUUCACCUCAAACGAAUUCGCCGCCUACUGUGAAGAACUGGGGAUCCAGAGGAACACGACGACGCCAUGGCGCGCAGCCUCAUGGAGGCCAUGGGCGUGCCGUGCGUGUUCUGGGGCGAGGCUGUGCGCACCGCCGUCCACAUCCUCAACCGGUCGCCGACCAGAAGCUUGCAGGGCAUUACCCCUUAUGAAGCGUGGCGCAAGAAGAAGCCGGCGGUGGACUACUUCCGCACCUUCGGCUGUGUCGCGCAUGUCAAGCUCGUCGGACCAGGGGUGA